rnacentral:misc_RNA from 1 species
UCUUCGUUGGUGAACCAGCGGAGGGAUCAUUACAGGACUCGCAAGACUCCUACAACCCUGUGAACUUAACUAUAAGCACGUUGCUUCGGCGGGUGUCUCGGAGAGGGUUCUCCCUCCCCGGGGCGCUAAGCCCGCCGGCAGCCUACUAUACUCUGUCUCUUUGCGUUGGCAUCUCGAGUACAAACAAACAAGUUAAAACUUUCAACAACGGAUCUCUUGGUUCUG